UUCAAAGAUGAAAUAAAACAACAAAAGAAGAAUAAGUAGACAUUUUUGCUGAUUUGACAUGUCUAUUUAGACUUUCCAGAGUCAAUUGAUGUAACAUUUUGAUGAUAAACAGGACUUUAAAAUUGUACAACUUUUUCAAACUCAAAUUACAUUCAAUCAUUCUCUGUUCUGUUACCAUUGCCAACUUUUCAGACAAAUAGAUCUGUAGCCUGCAAAAAAAACCAUGGAGAAAAAGGUAGAGAUAAUAUCAAAACAGUUGAUUAAGCCAUCAGUUUGUCAUGUUGAAUCCUUCAAUAUGUCUGCUCUAGAUCAACUAGCCCCUCCUACUUACUAUCCAAUUUUUCUAUACUAUCCAAAUGAUCAAGAAUCAACCAAUUUAUCAACUAGAUCCCUACAACUAAAAAGUUCCUUGUCCAAAAUUCUUGCUGAUUUUUAUCCCUUCGCUGGAAGAUUAAUCAAUAACAACACUUCAAUCAGUUGCAAUAAUUCUAAAGAUGAUGAUUUUGGAGUGUUGUUUAUUGAAGCUUUUGCACAUAACUACAACCUCCAUGAAAUUCUUCUUUCAGGGAGCAAAACAAACACCUUAGGACAAUUUGUCCCAUCAAUGGAUUCACUAUUGAAAACUCAUUUGCUGAUUGUUCAAGUCACAGUCUUUGAGUGUGGAGGCAUGAUCCUAGGUUGUUUGGUUUCUCACAAGCUAUCUGAUGCUACCUCUAUUUGCACUUUCAUCAAUAAUUGGGCAGCUGCGGCUCGAGGUGCUAAUAAUUCGAAUUCUUUGACCCCUGAUUUUACAUCAGGGGUCAAAGUCUUCCCACCAACUAAACAACCGCCGCCAUUGCCAUUUGCGAAUCCUGUUGGUGGUCAAGAGAAGCAAAUCAUUACGAAGAUUUUCUCGUUUGAUGGGCCUAGCAUAGCGGAUCUCAAGUCUAAGGCUCUAAGUAAGGAUGUACCGGGUCCCACACGUGUCGAAGCAGUGUCGGCUCUGAUAUGGAAGUGUGCAACCGUCUCAUCUAAAAGCAGUACUAGUACGUCUACUUUAUCCCACGUGGUGAACGCCAGGAAAAGGCUUGUACCUUCAUUGCCCAGUGGGACCAUUGGAAACUUCCUUGCCUUUUUUGUGGCUACUAAAAGUAAUGAGGGAGACAAAAAUGACUUAUCAAAUCUUGUGACCAUCUUGAGAAAAGGUUUAUUAGAGUUCCCUAGUUUAAAUUGGGAUGUGGCUUUGGACCAAAUAGUUGAGAAUUGGAACAUGUUAGGAGAUCUUAUAUCAAGAAACAAUGGCACAGAAUUGUAUAAUAUUUCUAGUUGGUGUGGGGUACCAUUUUAUGAAGCAGAUUUUGGAUGGGGGAAGCCAAAAUGGAUUAGCACUAUGUUUCAACACAAGAAUUCAAUUGUGCUAAUGGAUGCCAAAGAUGGUGGGAUAGAAGCCUGGGUUAGUUUAGAGGUAAAACAUAUGUCAGAAUUUGAACAAAACCCAAAUUUGCUAGCUUUUGCGACCACUAAAUAAGCAAUUAUGAGUUAAUUUUCACAAGUCUCCUGUCCGAGCAAUAGGAAUGGAGCGCUUCUCUCUUUAUGGCCGUAUCCGGUGCAAAUCUGGACUUUGGGGGCAAAGAGUUCUGGAUACCAUAUAGUUAAGGUUCUUCAUCUAUUUAUAUUUUUCCAUUUCUUGCGCUUUUGUUUUGUCCCCGUACUUUUACCUUAGGUGAUAUAUGAGAAUCAAAGAUCAAGCUAAUUUCCUUUUAUAUUGGAACAAAUAUCUUGUGUUUGCAUUAGAAAAUAAAUUUUGCACUGUCAGUGUGCAUAAGUUAAAUCCUUGAAUAUUAGAUUAACAAAACAUUACAAUCUAGAGCUCAUAGUAAUUUUCAUCUUUUAUGAUGUAUAACUGAUUGCCGAACGAUGCGUACGUAAUAAGUUACUAAAAAAGUUAUCACAUGCUAAGCAAAAUGAGACUAAGGAUGGUCUUAACAUGUUCUUGAUCAGUGGAUGUAGUUUUUUCAUUUAUUGCGGGAUUUUCAUAAAGGAGGAUCUAGGAUAUUAACUUUAUGCGUUUGGAAUUUAGGAUUCUGGAAUUGUGACAUCAAAUUAACAUAUAAUGAUAACUGAAGCAAGUAACGAGUAUUAAGAAUGUAAUCCUAUGCUUUAUUUCUCUUAUUCUUUGGGUUGAUUUCCUUGAUGACCCUGAUUAUAUGCAAUUUCUUCCAACUUCAAAAAUUUCACACAUGUUUGAGCAGCUUUUGAUCUUUUUUGGGAAAAUCCAUUUGUAGUCUUUGAAAUUUAACUUGACGCAUGAUAAGCAGUUGAGAAACCACGAGUUUCAAAGGGCAUUUCAAAACGUUUUGACCAACCAAACAUAGAAAAAUUAGAAAACAUUUUCCAAUUUUCCUCCAUACCACACACCCCUAAACUAGCAUGAAGGACAGUCACAGAAUCUGUAUUGCAACUAACCAUCACCACACGCUUAAUGGCGUCAUAAAUUUUUUGCCUUAAAAGACUCACACAAGUAUACACGAUCGACAAGUAAUAAAGUGAUAAUAAGAUCAAGUAUCGUUCCACGUAGUUCUAUAAUUGACUAUUAACUAUAUCAAGCAAUUCCUAAUUAUCUAAACAAGGAAGUUUCAAUAGUUUGUUUUGUAGUUAUUAUAAUUAAAUAUUAAACAACAAAAUUAAGGAAUUAACUAAUAAAUUUGGAUAUUAAUGUGGGGAAAAUAUUUCAGGGUUAUGGAAUAUCUAUCAACCCUGUUGAAUUUUUCAGCUAAUUUGACUAAUUAAUUUAUCUCAGUAUUAAUGAAAGAUGUAAAAAAAUGAAGAUAAGCACCAAAAAGUUUAAUAGUUUGCCAAGUCCACCCACACUCAUCUAAUAUCUGAUGUUUGUACGUUGACAUGGGUGAUAUGAUAUCCAAAAUGUUGGACAUAUUAAUUCAAUUCAUUAAUGAAAAACCAACUAAUAUGUGUAUGUAUUACUUCCUCUGUCUCAAUUUAUAUGACACAAUUCAGAUUUCAGAGAGUCAGAUUUUUCGAUUUCGAACGUAAAUUAAGACAUGCAAUCUUUAAAUAUUUGAAAUAAAAUUAAUUAUAUAUUUGGAAACAACGUCAAAAGUAUUAUAAGUAAUAAUUACAAAUAUUUGUAAGGCAUAUGAAAACAACUACAGGCAAAUAAAACUUGUUUGACUCUUGAAAUUCAAACGGUGCCACAUAAAUUGAGACGGAAGAGUGAUUCUUGAUGUCGCAAAACCAGUUGGUUGGCAUCUACGAUUAAAUUAUAUGAAUUUAGUUAAACAUAAUGACAGUUUUCAUACUCGUCUAAUAAUUACAUUCAUCACAUGAGAUCUUAAUUUCCACAAUAUUUCUGUAAUAGUAUAUCAUUUGUAGAGAAAAAUUUCACGGUACAAAGUUCUAGGCAAGAAGAUUGUUUUUAAGAGAAGUGAAAGGGACUUCAGCGUAUAAGUUAAAAUAUCCAAACUUUUAGAUGGCAAAAAUGAUGUUGGUGCAGUAAACCGUCGCCACCUUGCUGCUCUGUAUUGUGGCGCAACCUCAGGAUUUGAGCUAAUACAUGGUCUAGUCGACAAAAGCAUGGAAGCAAAUGGUACUAAUUUUGUAUCACCUGGAGACAGUACAGGCUACUACAUAGAAAGAUCAGAGGCAACUGUUUGCAAUUUUCCAAUUUGCUUCCUUUUAUUUCAUUAUGAGUAUUGCUGUGUGUGCUGAUUUCUGUCUUAAUGUGUCAUAGGAGCCUGCAUUUCUUCAGGGAAGACAAGCUAGCAUUAUUUACAGAGGAAAUCGAAUCGGAACAUUUGGCAUUGUGCACCCUAAGUUUAUGUUUGCCGAAGCAUCAGCUACCACGCCCUUAUGCUCCUGGGAGAGCUUAUUCGUGUUUG